rfam:Thermococcus celer strain Vu 13, complete genome.
GGGCCCGUGGUCUAGCCUGGUUAUGACGUCGCCCUCACGCGGCGAAGGUCCGGGGUUCGAAGCCCCGCGGGCCCA